GAAAACCCUGUAACGGACUGAAUACCGGCAGACCGUCCCUAAUACUCCGGCGUGCGUUAUGUGAGGUAUCCACAUAAGGUGCGAAGCCCGGUGAAGUCGGCGAAACGUAGACCUGCGAAGCGGUUAGCAAAGUAGUCGGGGGGCUAUAAA
rnacentral:ncRNA from 1 species